ACAGGCUGAUACCGCCCAAGAGUUCAUAUCGACGGCGGUGUUUGGCACCUCGAUGUCGGCUCAUCACAUCCUGGGGCUGAAGUAGGUCCCAAGGGUAUGGCUGUUCGCCAUUUAAAGUGGUACGCGAGCUGGGUUUAGAACGUCGUGAGACAGUUCGGUCCCUAUCUGCCGUGGGCGCUGGAGAAUUGAGGGGGGCUGCUCCUAGUACGAGAGGACCGGAGUGGACGCAUCACUGGUGUUCGGGUUGUCAUGCCAAUGGCACUGCCCGGUAGCUAAAUGCGGAAGAGAUAAGUGCUGAAAGCAUCUAAGCACGAAACUUGCCCCGAGAUGAGUUCUCCCUGAGACUU
rnacentral:rRNA from 1 species